rnacentral:rRNA from 1 species
AACGAACGCUGGCGGCAUGCCUAACACAUGCAAGUCGAACGAGACCUUCGGGUCUAGUGGCGCACGGGUGCGUAACGCGUGGGAACCUGCCCUUAGGUUCGGAAUAACUCCCCGAAAGGGGUGCUAAUACCGGAUAAUGUCUUCGGACCAAAGAUUUAUCGCCUUUGGAUGGGCCCGCGUUGGAUUAGCUAGUUGGUAGGGUAAAAGCCUACCAAGGCGACGAUCCAUAGCUGGUCUGAGAGGAUGAUCAGCCACACUGGGACUGAGACACGGCCCAGACUCCCCCGGGGGGGGGAGGAGGGGGAAAUUGGGGAAAGGGGGAAAGACCGUGAUCCCGAAGCCCCGCGAGAGAGAAAAGGCUUUGGGGGUUAAAAAGCUUUUUCCCGGGGGAAGAUAAACACAACCGGGGGAAAAAACGCCCCGGCUAACCCU